UGUGUAUCUCUGAUGGUUUUGUAAGUCUUUAUUUGUAUCUUUUUACGUGAUAUUGUUGCUGUUAUUCACUUAUGAUGUCACUAUAUGUAUGAAACUUGAUCCUGGCAUACAUAUAGGUAGCACUUGGUUUUGUCCUUAAAACCAGGUGUGAUAGAAGUGGUAUCAGAGCUGUAUCGACUGUAGGACAUAAGCCUAGAUAGUAAUGGUCACUUCUUAAGGUCUGUUUUACCAUAAAAAUAAUUCUUACCUUAUCCUUGACCUCUCUGAUCUCUAUUCUCACUCCUUGUACAUCUUAUCUACACCUUGGUUUCUUAUUUUUGAUCAACUUUGACUCUUAGUCCUUUACACCCACCUUGUUUUGCUAUUGCUAAACCCUCAAUCCUUGUCUAUUGACUUACUCCCUCCUUGAUGCUUUCUUGAUCUUGAUUAUACCUCUCCUUUGAUGAAUAACUUUCCCUAUUCCAAGCAUCUCACCUCCUUUUGGUUUG
rnacentral:lncRNA from 1 species